rnacentral:rRNA from 1 species
GGGAAGAAGCGGAAGUGACGGUACCUGCAGAAGAAGCGCCGGCUAACUACGUGCCAGCAGCCGCGGUAAUACGUAGGGCGCAAGCGUUGUCCGGAAUUAUUGGGCGUAAAGAGCUCGUAGGCGGCUUGUCGCGUCUGCUGUGAAAGCCCGGGGCUUAACUCCGGGUGUGCAGUGGGUACGGGCAGGCUAGAGUGCAGUAGGGGUAACUGGAAUUCCUGGUGUAGCGGUGAAAUGCGCAGAUAUCAGGAGGAACACCGAUGGCGAAGGCAGGUUACUGGGCUGUUACUGACGCUGAGGAGCGAAAGCAUGGGGAGCGAACAGGAUUAGAUACCCUGGUAGUCCAUGCCGUAAACGUUGGGCACUAGGUGUGGGGGACAUUCCACGUUUUCCGCGCCGUAGCUAACGCAUUAAGUGCCCCGCCUGGGGAGUACGGCCGCAAGGCUAAAACUCAAAGGAAUUGACGGGGGCCCGCACAAGCGGCGGAGCAUGCGGAUUAAUUCGAUGCAACGCGAAGAACCUUACCAAGGCUUGACAUACACCGGAUCGUUCCAGAGAUGGUUCUUCCCUUUUGGGCUGGUGUACAGGUGGUGCAUGGUUGUCGUCAGCUCGUGUCGUGAGAUGUUGGGUUAAGUCCCGCAACGAGCGCAACCCUCGUUCUAUGUUGCCAGCACGUGAUGGUGGGGACUCAUAGGAGACUGCCGGGGUCAACUCGGAGGAAGGUGGGGAUGACGUCAAAUCAUCAUGCCCCUUAUGUCUUGGGCUUCACGCAUGCUACAAUGGCCGGUACAAUGGGUUGCGAUACUGUGAGGUGGAGCUAAUCCCAAAAAGCCGGUCUCAGUUCGGAUUGGGGUCUGCAACUCGACCCCAUGAAGUCGGAGUCGCUAGUAAUCGCAGAUCAGC